AGCAGCCGCGGUAAUUCCAGCUCCAAUAGCGUAUAUUAAAGUUGCUGCAGUUAAAAAGCUCGUAGUUGAAUUUCGGGACCAUCAUGUCGGUCGUGCCUCGGUACGUACUGGUAUUGUUGGUUUCUCCCUUCUGACGAACCAUGAUGUCAUUUAUUUGGUGUUGUGGGGAAUCAGGACUGUUACUUUGAAAAAAUUAGAGUGUUUAAAGCAGGCUCACGCUUGAAUACAUUAGCAUGGAAUAAUGAAAUAGGACGUUUGAUUCUAUUUUGUUGGUUUCUAGGAUCGACGUAAUGAUUAAUAGGGAUAGUUGGGGGCAUUAGUAUUCAAUUGUCAGAGGUGAGAUUCUUGGAUUUAUUGAAGACUAACUACUGCGAAAGCAUUUGCCAAGGAUGUUUUCAUUAAUCAAGAACGAAAGUUAGGGGAUCGAAGACGAUCAGAUACCGUCGUAGUCUUAACCAUAAACUAUGCCGACUAGGGAUCGGAUGAUGUUAAUUUUUUAAUGACUCA
rnacentral:rRNA from 1 species